AUACAUACUCCCCCUCCAUUUCGUUUUCGAUCAGAGCGCAGUAUAUCGUAACCCUCGAUACUCAUAAGGUCGUCCGAAAUAGAGGAGUCAAGGCGAGUUUCAUUUAGUGCCAAGAUAUCCAAUUUUUUAUCAUGCAAUAGCAGGCGAAUUUCGUCAAGGUGUUUCGGAAGGCUAGCUAUAUUGAGCAUAGCCAUUCUAAAACCUCUUAAUUUAGGAAUAUCUGACCAAUUUGUCUCAUUAUCUUUCCCCCUCGGCCUCUUAUCAUAUCAUUUUAAUAUAUUUCCUAUAUUGGCUUGUAAUAGGGCACUCCCUUCAUGAGUUAGGUGUAAGCCCCUGCGAUUUAAAUGUAAGCUGUUUAUAUUACUAUUAUCUAGAAACGACCAAUUGUUUUCUUCACAUUUUAAUUUCAAAGCAACAUAUGGUCUGUUUUACCUUACUUGCAAAUUCGGGAUUAUCCGUUCUAAUGGUCUGUUUUACCUUACUUGCAAAUUCGGGAUUAUCCUCUCCAGCUGGCGCAUGGCCACGCCAAAGCCUAUUUUCAGUAAUCGCAAUCAUCGAGAGCGGAAUUACCAGGCUACCAGCGAAUUGCUUGCAAGAAAUCGCCGCAUAACUGAUAAAAACGCAAUGUGAACGAUGUUAAGCUAACUGUUUUUGCUGAGAAAACGAUCGAAAAUAAAAAUCGAGCAGGGGAAACAGAAAGAAAAAAAAAUUCGUGCACCAAAAAAGUUUGAAAAAAAAAUUCGUGCAGAGACUUUUUUCACUAGGGAAAAUUAUAAUUCGAAAUAAAAAAAAUUCGUGCAAGGGAUUAUAUUUUAAAAAAUUAUCGACACAAGGAAAAAACUAAAAAAUAUAUAUUCGUACAAGUUGAAAAUGUCCCCCCCCCCACCCAUCACUUUUCUAAUGGUCCGCCCCUUAUUGUACUCGUGCUCUCCGCGAUAUUUAUACUGUUAUCUUUCUAAAAAGUCAGUUCCUUAAAUAUUUUUACAGUGCAUCUACAGUAAGUGGGCCCAUUUAGAGAACACUAACCAAUCACAUUAAUUACAGAACAAAAAUAGAAAAAAUCAACGGCGCAUUAGCCAAUUAGCAUUAGGCCAAAUUAAAAACAAGGACCUUCGCUCUAAACGUCGAGUUUCUGCUUGUUUUUUAAGGUAGUAAUAUAACCACUCCG